AUUGAACGCUGGCGGCAGGCCUAACACAUGCAAGUCGAGCGGCAGCGGGAAAGUAGCUUGCUACUUUUGCCGGCGAGCGGCGGACGGGUGAGUAAUGCCUGGGAAAUUGCCCAGUCGAGGGGGAUAACAGGUGGAAACGACUGCUAAUACCGCAUACGCCCUACGGGGGAAAGCAGGGGACCUUCGGGCCUUGCGCGAGUGGAUAUGCCCGGGUGGGAUUAGCUAGUUGGUGAGGUAAUGGCUCACCAAGGCGACGAUCCCUAGCUGGUCUGAGAGAAUGAUCAGCCACACUGGAACUGAGACACGGUCCAGACUCCUACGGGAGGCAGCAGUGGGGAAUAUUGCACAAUGGGGGAAACCCUGAUGCAGCCAUGCCGCGUGUGUGAAGAAGGCCUUCGGGUUGUAAAGCACUUUCAGCGAGGAGGUAAGGUUGAUGCCUAAUACGUAUCAACUGUGACGUUACUCGCAGAAGAAGCACCGGCUAACUCCGUGCCAGCCGCCGCCGUAACAC
rnacentral:rRNA from 1 species